AUUGAACGCUGGCGGCAUGCCUUACACAUGCAAGUCGAACGGCAGCACGGGAGCAAUCCUGGUGGCGAGUGGCGAACGGGUGAGUAAAGUAUCGGAACGUGCCCAGUCGUGGGGGAUAACGUAGCGAAAGUUACGCUAAUACCGCAUACGAUCUAUGGCUGAAAGCGGGGGAUCGCAAGACCUCGCGCGAUUGGAGCGGCCGAUAUCAGAUUAGGUAGUUGGUGGGGUAAAGGCUCCCCAAGCCGACGAUCUGUAGCUGGUCUGAGAGGACGAGCAGCCACACGGGGACUGAGACACGGCCCAGACUCCUACGGGAGGCAGCAGUGGGGAACUUUGGACAAUGGACGAAAGGCUGAUCCAGCCACGCCGCGUGCAGGGUGAAGGCCUUCGGGUUGUAAACUGCUUUUGUACGGAACGAAAAGGUUUGGCCUAAUAAGCUGAGCUCAUGACGGUACCGUAAGAAUAAGCACCGGCUAACUACGUGCCAGCCGCCGCCGUAA
rnacentral:rRNA from 1 species